rnacentral:rRNA from 1 species
GUGUCAGCCGCCGCGGUAAUACGUAGGGUGCGAGCGUUGUCCGGAAUUACUGGGCGUAAAGAGCUCGUAGGUGGUUUGUCGCGUUGUUCGUGAAAACCGGAGGCUCAACCUCUGGCGUGCGGGCGAUACGGGCAGACUUGAGUACUGCAGGGGAGACUGGAAUUCCUGGUGUAGCGGUGGAAUGCGCAGAUAUCAGGAGGAACACCGGUGGCGAAGGCGGGUCUCUGGGCAGUAACUGACGCUGAGGAGCGAAAGCGUGGGGAGCGAACAGGAUUAGAAACCCUGGUAGUCC